GAUGAACGCUGGCGGCGUGCCUAAUACAUGCAAGUCGAGCGAACAGACGAGGAGCUUGCUCCUCUGACGUUAGCGGCGGACGGGUGAGUAACACGUGGAUAACCUACCUAUAAGACUGGGAUAACUUCGGGAAACCGGAGCUAAUACCGGAUAAUAUAUUGAACCGCAUGGUUCAAUAGUGAAAGACGGUUUUGCUGUCACUUAUAGAUGGCUCCGCGCCGCAUUAGCUAGUUGGUAAGGUAACGGCUUACCAAGGCAACGAUGCGUAGCCGACCUGAGAGGGUGAUCGGCCACACUGGAACUGAGACACGGUCCAGACUCCUACGGGAGGCAGCAGUAGGGAAUCUUCCGCAAGGGGCGAAAGCCUGACGGAGCAACGCCGCGUGAGUGAUGAAGGUCUUCGGAUCGUAAAACUCUGUUAUUAGGGAAGAACAAAUGUGUAAGUAACUAUGCACGUCUUGACGGUACCUAAUCAGAAAGCCACGGCUAACUACGUG
rnacentral:rRNA from 1 species